UACGUAGGUGGCAAGCGUUUUCCGGAAUUACUGGGUGUAAAGGGAGCGUAGGCGGGUGCGCAAGUUGAAUGUUUAAACUAUCGGCUCAACCGAUAAUCGCGUUCAAAACUGCGUAUCUUGAGUGAAGUAGAGGCAGGCGGAAUUCCUAGUGUAGCGGUGAAAUGCGUAGAUAUUAGGAGGAACACCAGUGGCGAAGGCGGCCUGCUGGGCUUUUACUGACGCUGAGGCUCGAAAGCAUGGGGAGCAAACAGG
rnacentral:rRNA from 1 species